rnacentral:lncRNA from 1 species
UUAUCCCAAAUGGCCCGAGCGUAUGUACCCACAGCUUCUCUAAUUCUAAAUUAUAGAAUGGAGCUGAUGAUGAUGUUCAAGUUUCUCUGGAUCUGUGUUUAAAAAGGCGAUCGCCUUUUGCGCAAAGGCGCAAGGCGCAGUAAGGCGACGGUCCCACCGCCAUAGACCUUUAAGGCGAGGCUAAGUCCGUAAGGCGCUCGCCAUACUGCGCCUUUGGCUUAACUACAAUGCGCCUUAAGCGCUUCGAAAGCGUGCUUUGUAGUUUCUAUUAAAAACUACUUUCACCAAACCCUUAAAACAUCUUGAAAACCAUGUAACAACUACUCUGACCAACCCUUUAAAGACCCUUACAACAUGAAGCUUAGAUUUUUAGUUUUCAAGUUCUCUGUUUUAGUUAUUGGAUUUUAUCAAUGAGUAUAUAGGUGACUGUAUUAGUGUGUAUAUGACUAACUGGUAUAGCUGACUAUAUUAGAUUGUACACGACUCUAACUGUCUGAACUACUCUAUAACUAUCUUUUGUACAUAACCAUACAGUUAUAGUGUGUAGAGCUACCACGUACACAUGCUUCUAACCUAGGAAAACUAUCAAUGCAUUUCUAAGUUCCUCUGUAGCUCUAUACUACUAUUAUAUGUUUGAAUGUGUACUAUCUAUAAGGCGAGCGCCUUGGACCGCCAUGGCGCAAGGCGCAUGGCUCCAACCUCAUCGCCUUAGAGCGCCAUGCGCCUUUUAAAACACAGCUCUGGAUUCAUAUUCUUUACUUUGAUAACUUAUGGACCUGGUUACGUCAAUGUCCUCCAGUUUUGUCAUGUAUGUGAUAAUAUAAUAUGCUUUUUAUUCUUGGCUUCCCUUAUUUUUUAUCAGCGGAACUAAGUAAGCUAUAAAAAAGUUGAAGUCAUCAGCUAAAACCACAAUCCAAACAUAAGACCGAUCAUUAAAAAAAAAGCAAACGAUUAUAUGCGAGGCCUGAUUCGAGUGACAUGUCACUUUGUGAUUGUCGAUCAGUUGUCGGAGAUACGAAAAAGGUUAAACUCAUGAACUUUGUUUAGUAAUGGAACUCUGAGCCAUUUGAAGCUCCUUUUGAAGCCAAUUGCUCAUUUUGCAAUGAGCACAUAGCCCUAAAAUGCAGGAAUACAAUCCGAAUCAUGUUACACCGAGCGAAUCAUGUUACACCGAGAGAAAUUUGUUGCAUGAUUCUCACUCAUGUUAAUUGCCAUUCGUUGCAAUAACAUUAUUAUUAUUAUUUAUUUACUUUUGAUAAAUCCUAUCAGCUGAUCCGGUCGGCACCGGAAGACGCGCACUUUAGUGCUAUAGAGUGGACUAGCCCGAAAGCGUACCACACUGUCUAAUCCGAAUUUGGAAUAUCUUCUGACUAAUGACAGGGGUGGACCAAUCAUCUGUUAUAGUCCACCAUGUAAAGCACUUGGACCGAAGCCCAAGCCGAGACUGACCAAGUAGAGAUUAUUUAGUUUCCAGAGAAAAUCGAACCCAAAACUAAUAUGAGUAUACACCAAACCCUAAGAGAUUGCCACUAGGCUUACCACCAUUUGGUUUCCUUGCAAUAACAUGCUUUUGAGUUUUGGUUUCCUUAUGACAAGAAUCGUUGGUGCCUGUUAAAGACUUGGAGUCCAAUAAGAUAAACAAAGAGCAUUUUGCGAGACAAUGGCCCUCGAGUUUGGGAAGAUUCUUCUCAGGGUGAGGAGAAGGUUUUAGCCUUUUAAUCAUAUAAGGGUACAUUCUACCUAGUUGACUAUAUCUUGACUGUAUAUUGACUUUAAAGUUAAAACUCUUAAUAUAAAAGGGUAUAUUCAUUUCAUUGCAAAAGCUUUUGUUGAUACGAACAUGUUUAACUUUACUUCAUAUUACGUUCAGGACAAGUCUACAGGUCCUGUGACUAAAGAGGAGCUUGGGAAGGCUACUUGGACAUUUCUGCACACACUUGCUGCCCAGGUUGAUUUCUAUUUCCUUUUAACUUUCUCAGUUUAAUAGUUGUUUUUGAACUUUGGUUGAACACUUGAUGCAUGAGGUAUGAACAGGCUUAGUGGUGAUUUUUGUUGGUUUUUGCUGGGCAUAAAGAUAGUUGAGAAUGCUCUUUGAUUGACUUUUUGUUCUUGCUUUCGGUUUCUCUCUGUUCAUUGAUUUACAGACUGAAACAAAUAAAGGAAUCUGAUUCAGUCUCAUGUUUCUUAUCUUACUACAUUGGAUUUGACCUCUAGCAGUUUCUAAGUGUAUCUUUGUGAAUUGGUUGAAACUCAGGUAUGUAUUCUGAAUCAGAUGCUUUUUCUUUUCCUUUUCUCAUCAGUAUCCAGAAAAGCCAACAAGGCAGCAAAAGAAGGAUAUAUUAAAGAACUGGUAAAAAUCUUCUAGCCCUAGUGUAUUAUCCCUAUUUAAUUUUUAGACAGUCAGUUUAUCAGAUCAAGUUGAAAUUGGUAGUAAUGCUAGAAUUUUCAGCUUGGAACUUCUAAAAUAUAUUAAAGCUUAACCUCUUCUACAAGUUAUUCUUUCUGAAAAUUCACCUAUUGUGUGCCGCUCCAAUUGUGUAGACAUGGCCAACUGAGGCAGAGAUGGCUGAGGCGGACAGAAAUCAGAAACAGGGAAAGCUAAAGAAGAGGACUUUGCCACGAGGGAUGUCAGAAUAUCAGGUUUGUAGAUGAUUUUAGCCCCAUUUUUAACUAUUCCUGUCUCUGGUGGAAUUGUCCUCCACAAUAUUUCACAUUUCGCUGACCCUCUUAUUUUUUAUUGUUUAUGAUUUGAUUCGCAGGCUGCUUGGAUUGUCGAUGAAAUAGAUGAAGAGGAUUCUGAUAAUGGUGAUUCCGAUGAUGAUGGUAUGGUAUUGGAUAAAGAAGAGGAUCACUUCUCCAAUCAAGACCAAGAUUUUGAGGACGAUAAAGAAACACUGCGGGAUGUGGAUAAUGAAACUUAUAACGACUCCGAGAUGAUGGUAAGCUUUUCCUCCAUGUACUGCUUUUAUAUUAAGAUUGAGUAUCUUGCCAAAGUCAUAAGCCAAUCUGCUCAUGGUUCAGGAUGAUGAAAACUUGACAAGGGAGCAGUAUGAGGAUCAAAUGAAGAAAAUAAAAGAGGCACAUGCCGAGGAUGAGGGUUGGUCAAAACGUUUUACUUUUGUAGAUUUAUUUUCUCUGUGGGCCAUAUAUGUCUGUGUGUGUGGUGCACAUAUUCAUUUUGAGUCCUUGUAGAGUAUCUGAAUCUCUCAAGUCCUCAUUGAUUUCUACUUUUACUUGUUCUUCAGAAUUUCCUGAUGAAGUAGAGACUCCCAUUGAUCAGCCUGCAAGAAAACGUUUUGCAAAGUAUAGGGGUCUCAAAUCCUUCAGAACGUCCUCGUGGGAUCCAAAUGUAGUUACACUGAUCUUGACGUGAAGCUCAUUUUUUCCUUUACACUGUAAAGUGCUGAUAAAUUUUGUUAUUUGUUGGCAAAUGCAGGAGUCUCUACCUCAGGACUAUGCCAGAAUCUUUGCUUUUGAUAAUCUCGCAAGGACUCAAAAGCUUGUACUCAAGCAAGCCCUGAAGAUGGAAGAAGAAAGCAGAGAUGAUUGUGUACCCACUGGAUCAUAUGUACGGCUGCAUAUUAAGGAAGUGCCUCUUGUUGCUGCCUCUAAACUAUCCUCCCUUGUGAGCUCGAAACCCAUUAUAGCAUUUGGGCUUUUACAGCAUGAAUCCAAGAUGUCAGUUCUGCACUUUAGGUAAUCACCAUCUUACUGUUUAUUGUUUUUGUUUGUUUGUUGAUGAGAUCUUGUUUCCUUAUCUAACUUCUCAUCCCCUUUUAACUGUCCUCCGCAGCCUUAAGAAGUAUGAUGGUUAUGAAGAUCCUAUCAAAACUAAAGAAGAACUUAUGUUCCAUGUUGGUUUCCGCCAAUUCGUUGCAAGGUUUGCAAAUUUGUUCCCAUUUCAUCUAAAGUGUAAUAUCUAUUCUUGCUUACAAUCUUCAAUAAUAAUGGCGGGGUUCCUGUUAAACUUUCCAGACCAGUGUUUUCAACCGACAAUUUCAGCUCAGACAAGCACAAGAUGGAGCGGUUUCUGCACCCGGGGCGUUUCUCAUUGGCUUCAGUAUACGGCCCGAUAUCUUUCCCAUCACUUCCUUUGGUAGUUCUGAAGAUUUCUGAAGUGUCGGAUGCUCCUGCCGUUGCUGCUCUUGGUUCCUUGAAAAGCAUUGAACCCAACAAAAUAAUCUUAAAGAAGAUAAUAUUAACUGGGUAAUUUUUUACUUAUUACCUUUCACUUUCCAGUUACAGCCGCAUAUUCUAGUUUACGUUCAUACCAAAGCUCUGUCAUGUGAACCGAGAAUACAAAUUAUAGUUUAAAGUAAUUUUAACCAGUUUUGAAUUUGGCUUGGUUCAGGUAUCCUCAGAGAGUAUCAAAGAUGAAAGCAUCAGUGAGAUAUAUGUUCCAUAACCCGGAAGACGUGAGAUGGUUUAAGGUAAGAAAGAGAAGGAAAAAUAUGGUGGAUUCAAUUAUUUGUCUAAAAUAAGAUAGUAAAAGCUAAAAGCUUGGGGAUGAAACAAUGUUUUUUUUCAAAACUAAAGAAGAACUUAUGUUCCAUGUUGGUUUCCGCCAAUUCGUUGCAAGGUUUGCAAAUUUGUUCCCAUUUCAUCUAAAGUGUAAUAUCUAUUCUUGCUUACAAUCUUCAAUAAUAAUGGCGGGGUUCCUGUUAAACUUUCCAGACCAGUGUUUUCAACCGACAAUUUCAGCUCAGACAAGCACAAGAUGGAGCGGUUUCUGCACCCGGGGCGUUUCUCAUUGGCUUCAGUAUACGGCCCGAUAUCUUUCCCAUCACUUCCUUUGGUAGUUCUGAAGAUUUCUGAAGUGUCGGAUGCUCCUGCCGUUGCUGCUCUUGGUUCCUUGAAAAGCAUUGAACCCAACAAAAUAAUCUUAAAGAAGAUAAUAUUAACUGGGUAAUUUUCAUUGGUUCCAGUUACAGCCGCAUAUUCUAGUUUACGUUCAUACCAAAGCUCUGUCAUGUGAACGGAGAAUACAAAUUAUAGUUUAAAGUAAUUUUAACCAGUUUUGAAUUUGGCUUGGUUCAGGUAUCCUCAGAGAGUAUCAAAGAUGAAAGCAUCAGUGAGAUAUAUGUUCCAUAACCCGGAAGACGUGAGAUGGUUUAAGGUAAGAAAGAGAAGGAAAAAUAUGGUGGAUUCAAUUAUUUGUCUAAAAUAAGAUAGUAAAAGCUAAAAGCUUGGGGAUGAAACAAUGUUUUUUUAAUGUGCAGCCUGUAGAAGUGUGGUCUAAAUGUGGGCGUCGUGGUCGCGUGAAGGAGCCCGUGGGUACACAUGGUAAGACACUGUUUCUUAUUUUAAGGAGAGAGAGAGAUUUGAGUUUGGUUUGUAGAAUCUUUUUGCUUAUACAUGUGGACUUUGCACAGGGGCAAUGAAAUGCAUAUUCAAUGGAGUGGUGCAGCAACAUGACGUCGUGUGCAUGAACUUGUACAAGCGUGCUUAUCCCAAAUGGCCCGAGCGUAUGUACCCACAGCUUCUCUAAUUCUAAAUUAUAGAAUGGAGCUGAUGAUGAUGUUCAAGUUUCUCUGGAUCUGUGUUUAAAAAGGCGAUCGCCUUUUGCGCAAAGGCGCAAGGCGCAGUAAGGCGACGGUCCCACCGCCAUAGACCUUUAAGGCGAGGCUAAGUCCGUAAGGCGCUCGCCAUACUGCGCCUUUGGCUUAACUACAAUGCGCCUUAAGCGCUUCGAAAGCGUGCUUUGUAGUUUCUAUUAAAAACUACUUUCACCAAACCCUUAAAACAUCUUGAAAACCAU